rnacentral:rRNA from 1 species
UACGUAGGUGGCAAGCGUUGUCCGGAAUUACUGGGCGUAAAGGGUGCGUAGGCUGAUAUUUAAGUCAGAUGUGAAAUUCCAGGGCUCAACCCUGGAACUGCAUUUGAAACUGGAUGUCUAGAGUGCAGGAGAGGAAAGCGGAAUUCCUAGUGUAGCGGUGAAAUGCGUAGAUAUUAGGAAGAACCCCAGUGGCGAAGGCGGCUUUCUGGACUGUAACUGACGCUGAGGCACGAAAGCGUGGGGAGCAAACAGG